rnacentral:lncRNA from 1 species
GUUGUCUGUGUCAAAAAGUUCAAAUUAGUCCGGGAUAAGCGUUGCAAAGCCAUUCCAUGAGAGGAGGAAGACAAAACUGAAGGUUUAGAGGAACAGAAGUAAAGCAGAUAUCCAAGCGAGAUAUAUGACGAAAGUUGCAUCUGGAAAUCAGAAAAUUCAGUUCUGAAAAUAAGAGAGGGAGAGACCGGGGAACAGAGGAGAGGAGGAAAGCAAGAAAAAGGAGAGAAAUUGGAGCAGGUUAGUCUGGACAUGUUCAGUCGCUCAUUUGGCUUGAUUCAAUCACAGAGU